rnacentral:rRNA from 1 species
UACGUAGGUGGCAAGCGUUGUCCGGAUUUAUUGGGCGUAAAGAGCUCGUAGGCGGCUUGUCGCGUCGUGUGUGAAAUCUCAGGGCUCAACUCUGACAUUGCAUACGAUACGGGCAGGCUUGAGUUCGGGUAGGGGAGACUGGAAUUCCGUGGUGUAGCGGUGAAAUGCGCAGAUAUCAGGAGGAACACCGGUGGCGAAGGCGGGUCUCUGGGCCGAUACUGACGCUGAGGAGCGAAAGCGUGGGGAGCGAACAGG